UACAAACUAUAUUUUGCAUCAGUUCUAUCAGUAGAUUGCUAACAAUUCCGGCUAAGCUCUGGUUAAACUUACUUGAGCGUCAUACUAAAUAAGUUCAUCAUUUAUCUUACGUAUCCAAAAUGGCUGGCAAGGUGUCGACAUUUGUUUUCGUUUUCUUCUUCCUUUUCGCAAUAGUGCCAUUUGGGAUAUCGACUCCCAUUGACUUGAAUAAUGAGGUAGAACAUGUUCGAAUGAGGCGUGGAACGAAGCAGCCAGGAGAUCUGUGCGAUGUUAACUGGAAUCCAGCUGGUCAAAGUGAAUGCGCAGGAAAUUCACGUUGUUUUCUUUGUUUUGUUGCUGCAUGCGGAGAAAAUAGAGGCCGCGCUAUUUGUCAAUAACACGUUCAUUUUCGAUCACUUGUUUAGAGAAAAUAAAAAGAUUUUCUAACCAUUUGGACCCAUUUUUAUCGUUAGAAAAUGCAUGUCGUUUUAAUACAAAUCAGCUUCUCUGUCAAUAAAUGUCAAUCCGACAGAAA